rnacentral:rRNA from 1 species
AUUGAACGCUGGCGGCAUGCCUUACACAUGCAAGUCGAACGGCAGCACGGGUGCUUGCACCUGGUGUCGAGUGGCGAACGGGUGAGUAAUACAUCGGAACUUACCUUAUCGUGGGGGAUAACGCAGCGAAAGUUGCGCUAAUACCUCAUACGCCCUGAGGGGGAAAGCUGGGGACCGUAAGGCCUCGCGCGAUUAGAGCGGCCGACGUCUGCUUUGCUUGUUGGUGAGGUAAAAGCGCACCAAGGCGAUGAUCAGUAGCUGGUCUGAGAGGACGAUCAGACACACGGGGACUGAGACACGGCCCAGACUCCUACGGGAGGCAGCAGUGGGGAAUUUUGGACAAUGGGGGCAACCCUGAUCCAGCAAUGCCGCGUGAGUGAAGAAGGCCUUCGGGUUGUAAAGCUCUCUUGUCAGGGAAGAAACAGCAGCUCUAACACAGUCUGCGAAUGACGGUACCUGAAGAAUAAGCACCGGCUAACUACGUGCCAGCAGCCGCGGUAA